ACUUGCAGAACACAGUAACUUAUCUGUUUCACGAAUCAGAUUGUCUUAAAACUUGCUAGAGGUGUUAAAUCUUGUGCAUGGGACUGUUGUUUGUGAAUAGCUACUCAAAAUAAUAAGAUUUACAUGCUCUGAAAAUGACCUUUUGUCUAAAACUCUACGAAAAACAUGGCCGCGUUGUGCAAAUAAUGAGUUGCUUAUUUCAAAACUGUCCUGUUAUUCUUCAGUAAAACUUCUUGUUAAUUUAAGACUCUAAUAGCUUGCUUGACAUACUCAUAGGCAAAUAUCAGUUAUCGGUGGAAUUACACCUUUGGAGAAAAGCGUGAUUCGCACGUUUUAAUUUCAUCAUUCGCCGCCUGAAGAGACAAGAUGGCGGAGCUUGCGAAAUCGAAAUAAAUAAUAAUUAAAGACA
rnacentral:lncRNA from 1 species